rnacentral:rRNA from 1 species
UGCAAGUCGAGGGGCAGCGGGAUUGAAGCUUGCUUCAAUUGCCGGCGACCGGCGCACGGGUGAGUAACGCGUAUCCAACCUUCCGUACACUCAGGGAUAGCCUUUCGAAAGAAAGAUUAAUACCUGAUGGUAUCUUAAGCACACAUGUAAUUAAGAUUAAAGAUUCACCGGUGUACGAUGGGGAUGCGUUCCAUUAGGUAGUAGGCGGGGUAACGGCCCACCUAGCCUACGAUGGAUAGGGGUUCUGAGAGGAAGGUCCCCCACAUUGGAACUGAGACACGGUCCAAACUCCUACGGGAGGCAGCAGUGAGGAAUAUUGGUCAAUGGACGAGAGUCUGAACCAGCCAAGUAGCGUGAAGGAUGAAGGUCCUACGGAUUGUAAACUUCUUUUAUAAGGGAAUAAACCCUCCCACGUGUGGGAGCUUGUAUGUACCUUAUGAAUAAGCAUCGGCUAACUCCGUGCCAGCAGCCGCGGUAAUACGGAGGAUGCGAGCGUUAUCCGGAUUUAUUGGGUUUAAAGGGAGCGCAGACGGGUCGUUAAGUCAGCUGUGAAAGUUUGGGGCUCAACCUUAAAAUUGCAGUUGAUACUGGCGUCCUUGAGUGCGGUUGAGGUGUGCGGAAUUCGUGGUGUAGCGGUGAAAUGCUUAGAUAUCACGAAGAACUCCGAUUGCGAAGGCAGC